AGUGAGAAUGUUGGCAUGAGUAGCGAGAUGUGGGUGAGAAUCCCACAGGCCGUAAACCCAAGGUUUCCAGGGGAAGGUUCGUCCGCCCUGGGUUAGUCGGGACCUAAGCUGAGGCCGAAAGGCGUAGGUGAUGGACAACAGGUUGAUAUUCCUGUACUACCGAUAACCGUUUGAGAGAAGGGAUGACACAGUAGGAUAAGCUAAGCACACUGUUGGUUAUGUGUGCCCAAGCAUUGAGGCAGUCAAAGUAGGCAAAUCCGCUUUGAUAAUGCUGGGAUGUGAUGGGGAGCGAAAUUUAGUAGCGAAGUAGCUGAUUUCACACUGUCAAGAAAAGUCUCUAUCGAGGUUAAAGGUACCCGUACCGCAAACCGACACAGGUGGGUGAGGAGAGUAUCCUAAGGCCAGCGAGAGAACUGUUGUUAAGGAACUCGGCAAAAUGACCCCGUAACUUAGGGAUAAGGGGUGCCACCAUCAGGUGGCCGCAGAGAAUAGGCCCAAGCGACUGUUUACCAAAAACAUAGGUUUCUGCUAAGUCGCAAGACGAUGUAUAGGAGCUGACGCCUGCCCGGUGCUGGAAGGUUAAGGGGAUCUGUUAGAGCAAUCGAAGCAGUGAACUUAAGCCCCAGUAAACGGCGGCCGUAACUAUAACGGUCCUAAGGUAGCGAAAUUCCUUGUCGGGUAAGUUCCGACCCGCACGAAAGGCGUAACGAUUUGGGCACUGUCUCAACAACAGACUCGGUGAAAUUGUAAUUCCGGUGAAGAUGCCGGAUACCUGCGACAGGACGGAAAGACCCCAUGGAGCUUUACUGUAGCUUGACAUUGGGUCUUGGUACUACAUGUACAGGAUAGGUGGGAGGCUUUGAAACCAGGACGCCAGUUUUGGCGGAGCCAUCCUUGGGAUACCACCCUUGUAGUACUGGGACUCUAACCAUAGGCCAUGAAUCUGGUCUUGGGACACUGUCAGGUGGGCAGUUUGACUGGGGCGGUCGCCUCCCAAAAGGUAACGGAGGCGCUCAAAGGUUCUCUCAGUACGGUCGGAAAUCGUACGUAGAGUGUAAAGGCAAAAGAGAGCUUGAUUGCAAGACAUACAGGUCGAGCAAGGAUGAAAAUCGGACUUAGUGAUCCGGUGGUUCUGCGUGGAAGGGCCAUCGCUCAACGGAUAAAAGCUACCCUGGGGAUAACAGGCUUAUCUCCCCCAAGAGUCCACAUCGACGGGGAGGUUUGGCACCUCGAUGUCGGCUCAUCACAUCCUGGGGCUGUAGUAGGUCCCAAGGGUUGGGCUGUUCGCCCAUUAAAGUGGUACGCGAGCUGGGUUCAGAACGUCGUGAGACAGUUCGGUCCCUAUCCGUCGCAGGCGUAGGAAAUUUGAGAAGACCUGUCCUUAGUACGAGAGGACCGGGAUGGACGUACCUCUGGUGUACCAGUUGUCCUGCCAAGGGCAUGGCUGGGUAGCUAUGUACGGAAUGGAUAAGCGCUGAAAGCAUCUAAGCGCGAAGCCAACUUCAAGAUAAGAUUUCCCACCGCAAGGGUAAGACCCCAGAAAGACUAUCUGGUUGAUAGGUCGAAGGUGUAAGUGCAGCAAUGUAUUUAGCUUAUCGAUACUAAUAGGUCGAGGACUUGACCAA
rnacentral:rRNA from 1 species